rnacentral:tRNA from 1 species
GGUCUCGUAGUGUAGCGAUUAACACGCCUGCCUGUCACGCAGGAGAUCGCGGGUUCGAUUCCCGUCGAGACCG